GGAGUUAGCCGGUGCUUCUUCUGUGAGUGAUGUCCUUCCUGCCGGCUAUUAACCCGCAGGCCUUCUUCCUCACUGAAAGUGCUUUACAACCCGAAGGCCUUCUUCACACACGCGGCAUGGCUGGAUCAGGGUUGCCCCCAUUGUCCAAUAUUCCCCACUGCUGCCUCCCGUAGGAGUCUGGGCCGUGUCUCAGUCCCAGUGUGGCUGAUCAUCCUCUCAGACCAGCUACGGAUCGUCGCCUUGGUGAGCCGUUACCUCACCAACCAGCUAAUCCGACAUAGGCUCAUCCGAUAGCGCGAGGCCCGAAGGUCCCCCGCUUUCCCCCGUAGGGCGUAUGCGGUAUUAGCCUGGGUUUCCCCAGGUUAUCCCCCACUACCGGGCAGAUUCCUAUGCAUUACUCACCCGUCCGCCGCUCGCCACCAGGGAGCAAGCUCCCCGUGCUGCCGCUCGACUUGCAUGUGUAGCUCGCCGCCACGCGUCAUCUGAGCCAUAAUACAACUACUGA
rnacentral:rRNA from 1 species